UAAAAAGUAUUACUGCAGGCCUAGAAAGAAAUGUUGAAUGCCCGUACCAACCGCUUGGUCUAGUGAUCAUGUGAAAAUGAGUAAACCAAAUUGAAAUCCCUAGAUUUGCGAGAGUGGAUCGGUCAUAGAGCUCAGUUUACGGUGGUGAAUCCAGUGAGCCAUGAGCCAUGAGACCACAAUUGGAGAAGAUGUGAAGCAAAAGCAGAUCGAGAACCAUCAAAAUUAGACCUUGCCCUUCCACGAACCCAGGUUGUGUAUCGACGAAUCCGACCUCAUCUUCCUUCUCAUUUCCAUUGACGAUCCGUGAAACCGAUGCACAGGAUCCCAUUCAGGUUCAUGGAUCUCAAAUGCAAAGCAACAUGGACACGCUUAUUCAACAUAGUCAAGGACCAAAGUAAACAAUGAGAUUCCUUAUGGGAUCUUAAAGAACAUUUUCAUACAACACAUUACAAACAGGAUCUUAACUUAGAUUCGUCAUGCGAUUUUGUAAACCCGUCUCUUAGAUAGGCGAAUGAAACAACCAUGGAGAUAUUGAAAAGGUUUCAUCCUCGAUGUAAAAGAAAACAUCUUACCAAAAGAGAUAUACAUAAUAAUAGGCGAAAUUUGUGGAAGAUCCGAACUAAAGAUUUGUUGGUUACCAAACAAAUCAUUUUAAUUCGUU